GAUGAACGCUGGCGGCGUGCUUAACACAUGCAAGUCGAACGGGAAAUACUUUAUUGAAACUUUGGUGGAUUUAAUUUAUUUCUAGUGGCGGACGGGUGAGUAACGCGUGGGUAACCUGCCUUAUACUGGGGGAUAACAGCCAGAAAUGACUGCUAAUACCGCAUAAGCGCACAGAACCGCAUGGUUCCGUGUGAAAAACUCCGGUGGUAUAAGAUGGACCCGCGUUGGAUUAGCUAGUUGGCAGGGCAGCGGCCUACCAAGGCGACGAUCAGUAGCCGGCCUGAGAGGGCGACCGGCCACAUUGGGACUGAGACACGGCCCAAACUCCUACGGGAGGCAGCAGUGGGGAAUAUUGCACAAUGGGGGAAACCCUGAUGCAGCGACGCCGCGUGAGCGAAGAAGUAUUUCGGUAUGUAAAGCUCUAUCAGCAGGGAAGAUAAUGACGGUACCUGACUAAGAAGCC
rnacentral:rRNA from 1 species